CUGACGAGAGGAAUUAAUGGACUGCAGCAUAUGAAAAUACCGCUUGCAAUGCACAGACAUAGGUCUCAUUCACACACUCCUGGACCACCUGGUCUGAAAUAGUCAUUUGUCUAAUUUCACAAGCAUAGGCCUAGCCUACUAACCAACAAACAUUUUGGCAUCAGUUAAUCAAGCCGGUCGUGGAGGUUGAUCUUUGGGCACCAUUCCACCAUGUGGAAAAACUGACCAAAUCCAAAACAUGUUCUGCAGGAAAAAAGGACACAGCAGUAAUGAGAAAGGCCGUUAUGUAAGCCGGGCCCAUUAUCAUGCGCUCUUUGAAGUGGGGCGCGGGUUCCCGACAGCGGUUUUUUUCCCUCUUCUUUUUGGCGCUGUGAUCGGCAGCCAUAGGAGAGCCCUACAGAGACCCGCGCUGCCACCCAGCCUGGCCUGUGGGGUCCUCGGCCCCCUCUCCUCCUCCGUUUGACUGACCUGGAAUUCCCAGCAAGCUACAACACAAGAGCAUGUGA